CAAAAAAUAGUUUAAUAAAAACUUUAAUUUUGGAAAUUAAUGAUAUAUAAUUUUCAGA
rnacentral:tRNA from 1 species